AAUCAUUUCAUUAUUUCGUGCUGGCCUGUUGUUUCGACAACAUUGCAGUAAUCUUCGUCGUGGAUCUAACUGAUGACCAACUAGUAAUGUUCUGUCGAUUAACUAAGGUAGUUUGCAAUGCUAUCGAAACAACAAAACAGUAUUUCAAGAUAGUCUCUUUCACCCAGAUGCAUUAAAAGGAGGUAUUCUAGUGUAGCAUUUGAAAAACACAUCUUGCCAUGCAUUUCCAUGUAACUUAUGAUGUUUAAAAUAUUUUAGUCAAAGAGUUUCAUAACCAUUUGUAAUCAUACCGUCUCGUUGCAAAACGUGCAAACAAAAAUCGCUUUCGUAUCAUCAAAAACAGCGGAUGUAUUUCAGGUACAAAAUCUUAGGUGACUCAUCCUGUAUACUAUAAACUACAGAUACGCGAAACAACAGUCAAAUGGCUUUGUAGUGAUAACGAAAAAAGGUUGUAAACUUGUUGGUGCGACAUAAAAAUGAAUUAAAUCAUCUGAUUUAACGAAAAGAAAUGAUCAAUUAACAAGUUAACAGCGGACUCAUUACACUCGGUUAACAGUUUAUUCAUUGAAAUACUUGACAAAGUUUGACUGUAGUAUCUUUACAGGUGGAAUGCCAUUUUGUUCACGACUUCAGCCGUAUCGUUUGUAGUUUGUAUGAUAGGAACAACGAUCUUCACAGAUUCCAGACGAGGGCAAUUAUCAUACAGAGCAUGGCUUCCCUACGAUUAUUCCUCUCCUACUUUAUUUACGAUCACUCUCGCUUUUCAAACUUCAAGUGUUACACUCUGCACGUUGAUAAGCGUUUGCUGUGAUUGCUUAUUCAGCGGCUUGAUGACCCACACGCGCUGUGUUUUAGAGAUACUUGAACUCCGGUUGAAAAAUAUUAUAGAAUAUAGAGCCGAUUCAAUGAAACAGUGUGUUCGACUUCAUAAACAUAUAUACAAAUUCGCGGCGAUGGUGAAUGAAGAAUUUAAAGAAAUUAUGUUUAUUCAGUUUUUGGUGAGCACGUUGGCUUUAUGCAGCGCACUUUAUCGUUUCACGCAAGGGAAACUGGACUCAAGAUUUAUCGAAACUGUGUUUUACACGAGCUGUGUCCUAAUUCAGGCGUUGUACUACUAUUGGUAUGGGAACGAAGUCAGAGAGAAGAGUCUCAGUGUUCCUGAGAUGGUAAUUGAUAGUAACUGGACAGCUUUGGAUAACGACUCGAAGAAGAUUCUUCUAAUGAUUAUGAAACGAGCUACGAUCCCUAUAGAGUUCAAUAGUUUUUAUAUUGCUUCGAUGGACGUCCCGACUUUUAUGGCUACAGCUUAUUCGGCUUAUAAUAUUCUACAACAAGGACAGGGAUAGUACGACCAAAAUAUUUUCUCUCUAUUCUCAGCAAAAUAUCGUUCAAUCUUCCAGGACGAAAUAAUUGAAGAGAAUGGGAAAGCAUGAGAAGACAAUGGAAAUUAUUAAUAUUGAAAAACUGUACUAGUGUAUAUAGACUCCAAUAGAACUUGUCAUCAGCUUCUAGAAUUUUUCUAAUGCUGGAAUGCAAAGAAAAACAACGCAAGGAACGUAACCUGCAUCAUUACCCUUAAACACUAUUAAUAAUUAAUUGGUGAAGCCGCAUCCCGUCGUUACGAUAAUAAUAUGCUCUCAGACAUAGAGGGAAAAUAACUGAAGAGAACUUACUUGGUUCAAGGGUAAUCGAAAAAUGCUGGCAUUCUAUAGCCCUCAGUAAUAUCUCACCGUUCGUUCAGUAAAGAGUCCGCACCGCGAAAAAAGAAAUUGAGUUAUUCCUGACGGCAGUUUUACCAUUUCUAUUUCGCUGUAAUGACGAAAAAGUAGAGAUCUUGAUUUAGAGUUAUCGCUUCAUCUUGACAGUGUUUUAACGAGUAAGGUAAUCAAAUCAAAUAUUUUCAAGUAUAUUGUAAAAUAACAGGACUUCAACGAGAAACCAAUGUAAAUUUCUGUGGAAAAGAAUUUUUA